CCCGGGUUUAUCUCCGGCUCAGUGCGGCUGUAGGGCCCAACACCCGCAAGCCCGGCCUCUCUCAGUCCGUUCUCUGCAGUUACUGUCUUGGUCGGUCACAACUGUUCCGACGAUGAGGCCUUCUGAAGCACCUCAGUGACGAGAAGGAGAGCGAACACCCAUCUACACCGAGGGGUGGGCUGUGUUGACUUUUAAAUUCUUGGCCCUUAACAUACGAGAUGACCUGUCGCACAGAUACUAUUACAUCAAUGCACAAGCGCGUCUUCGCUUUCUCGGGAGGUUCAGCUUGCUACCAAAGACUUACAAACAUCUACAGAUCUCUAUUGGAAGUAACCCUGACUGGUUGAAACAUGAUCUGACACGGUAACUGUAAGGCAAUGUGGUUUUUAAACACCCUCCGCAUGUCAGAUGUGAACAGCUGCUCCCAAUGAAAUCUCCCUGAUGCACCAUCAAUAACUCACUUUGAGAUGUAAAGGCGAGAUAUCGGCUUUUAUUGACUGGAAGAAGGAACCAGCAGUGAGUGACCACCAUACUACAUCCUGGAGACUGAGAGCAGGGCCCAGGCUCUGAUCGCCUUUAUACAGGGGCCUGUGGGAGGAGCCACAGGAGCAGUCAGCAAAGGGCGUGUCCAGACAGGCACAUGUAGUUCACCACACUCCCUAGUUCCUUCCCAAUGCUCUCAUACUUUGUUACGUCCAAAUACUCCCCCUCAAGGCUCAUACUUAGUCAUAGAACAUUACAGCACAGAUAUAUUACAGCCCCAGACAGCCCAUCUAGUCUGUGCCAAACUAUUAAUGCUGUCUAAUCCUAUUGUCCUACACUCAAGAGCUCUGCCCUCCAUCCAGGUACCUAUUCAAGUUUUCCUUAAAUGUUGAAAUCAAACCUGCAUCCACUUCCGCUGACAGCUUAUUCCGGUCUCACCACUUCGAAGUUCUCCUAACGUUCCGCUUAAACAGUUUACCCUUCACCGUUAGCCUAUAACAUCCCAACUGCUGUCCUCAAUAGUUUGAUUUAUGAAGGCCAAUGUGCCAAAAGCUGUUCUCAACCCUAUCUGCCUGUGAUAUCACUUCCAAAGAAUUUCUGUAUUGCCAAAUCCCUCUGUUCUACCACACUCCUCAGUGCCCUACCAUUCACCGUGCAAGUCCUACCCUGCUCUGUCCUCCCAAAGUGAAACACCUCACUCAUCUGUAUUAGAUUCCAUCUGCCAUUAUUCAGCCUAAUUUCCAGCUGGUGCAGAUCCUGCUGUAAACUUCCUCUUUGUCCACUGCACCCCUAACCUUGGUGUCAUCUACAAAUUUGCUGAUCCAGUUUACCACGUUAUCAUUCAGAUCAUUGAUAUAGAUGACUAGUAAUAGAUCCAACACUGAUCCCGGCAGCACACCACUAUUCUCGGGCCUCCAGUCACAGUUGCAACCAUCUAGUACCCUCUCCUGUGAAGCCAAUAUCCAAUCCAAUUUACUACCUUAUCCUGAAUGCCAAACUCCCAUUCAGGAUCUUAUCCAAGGCCUUGCUAAUGUAAAGGGGAUUUCUUCUUUUUCUUUGUUACUGUGUAUGUAAUCAAAAUGGCUUCUUUGUUUUGUUAAAAGUAGGAAUGCUUCUUUGUUGCGAGAGAGUGCUGGAAGCUUGUUUGGGUUAAAAUUUACUGAUAAUGAGAAUUGUAUUCCUUUGUAAACCAAUUGGGAUUAAUGUUGUUCUUUCUUCUGAGUCUGUAAGCUAUUGUUGGCGGGCUUUUGGGCAGAUCGGCGUGAGGGGGUGAGAGAGAGAGGACGCGAUGCUGUAAGCUGGGCAAGGAACGGACCCCAAGGGGGGGGGGUCCAAGGCCAGGAGGUACCCUGAGGAGAGGAGAGGACGAUAGAUGUACUUGGUUGACCACCGGGUGGUCCUGAGCUGCGAGUCGAGGAGUUCGGAGGGGAUCGAAUGGUGGCCAGAAGACUUCAGUAAUUGAGCUCCAACGGUUGUGCACGAAGUGGUUUGGACUUUGAUAAGUUUGGCGCCUUUUCUUUAUUGUUUUUUCCUUCAUAUAUACUGUAUUGUUAUUAAUCACUUAGUUAUAGUAACCUUUAUAAAUUGUACUCAUUUAAUCGCA